CCUACGGGUGGCUGCAGUGGGGAAUAUUGGACAAUGGGGGGAACCCUGAUCCAGCCAUGCCGCGUGUGUGAAGAAGGCCCUCGGGUUGUAAAGCACUUUCAGUGAGGAAGAACGCCUGGUGGUUAAUACCCAUCAGGAAAGACAUCACUCACAGAAGAAGCACCGGCUAACUCCGUGCCAGCAGCCGCGGUAAUACGGAGGGUGCGAGCGUUAAUCGGAAUUACUGGGCGUAAAGCGCGCGUAGGUGGCUUGAUAAGCCGGUUGUGAAAGCCCCGGGCUCAACCUGGGAACGGCAUCCGGAACUGUCAAGCUAGAGUGCAGGAGAGGAAGGUAGAAUUCCCGGUGUAGCGGUGAAAUGCGUAGAGAUCGGGAGGAAUACCAGUGGCGAAGGCGGCCUUCUGGACUGACACUGACACUGAGGUGCGAAAGCGUGGGUAGCAAACAGGAUUAGAUACCCGAGUAAGUC
rnacentral:rRNA from 1 species